ACUUGUUGUUGCUCCUCCUCCCAAAUGCGCAACAAGUAUCCCCUCCGGGAAGAAUUAUCUUCCUCAAUUUAUAGCCGGACAAAUUUGUCCGGCUCUUUUU
rnacentral:sRNA from 1 species